UCUGUGUACGUGUGUCAUUUUUCUAUUAUGCAACUUUUUUUUCAUGUUAGUUGCAUAGUAACAAAAGUGAUCAUACGUUCGCAUG
rnacentral:pre_miRNA from 10 species